UAGGGAAUCUUCCGCAAUGGACGAAAGUCUGACGGAGCAACGCCGCGUGAGUGAAGAAGGAUUUCGGUUCGUAAAACUCUGUUGUUAGGGAAGAAAAAAUGUAUAGUAACUAUAUACAAAAGAGACGGUACCUAACCAGAAAGCCACGGCUAACUACGUGCCAGCAGCCGCGGUAAUACGUAGGUGGCAAGCGUUGUCCGGAAUUAUUGGGCGUAAAGCGCGCGCAGGUGGUUUAGAAAGUCUGAUGUGAAAGCCCACGGCUCAACCGUGGGGGGUCAUUGGAAACUAAUAAACUUGAGUGCAGGAGAGUAAAGUGGAAUUCCUAGUGUAGCGGUGAAAUGCGUAGAGAUUAGGAGGAACACCGGUGGCGAAAGCGGCUUUUUGGCCUGCAACUGACACUGAGGCGCGAAAGCGUGGGGAGCAAACAGG
rnacentral:rRNA from 1 species